AGCUCCAAUAGCGUAUAUUAAAGUUGUUGCAGUUAAAAAGCUCGUAGUUGGAUCUCGGGUUUUCAGGCUAGCGGUUCCGCUCGUUGCGGACACUGCUACGUCCUGACCCAGCUGGCCGGUCUGCUCCCCUGGUGCCCUUAGCUGGGUGUCUCGGGUGCCCGGAACGUUUACUUUGAAAAAAUUAGAGUGUUCAAAGCAGGCUUUCGCAAGCCUGAAUAAUGGUGCAUGGAAUAAUAGAAUAUGUCCUCGGGUCUAUUUUUUUGGUUCUUUUCGGAAACCGAGGUAAUGAUUAAGAGGGACGGUCGGGGGCAUUCGUAUUACGGUGUUAGAGGUGAAAUUCUUGGAUCGCCGUAAGACGAACUACUGCGAAAGCAUUUGCCAAGGAUGUUUUCA
rnacentral:rRNA from 1 species